CUCACUAGCAAACGGCAAAAUAUCGCAGCGAGUCGCUAGGUACAACUUAUAGGCAGCUCAAGGACGUUGUGUUUCUGUCCCUUUAUAAGACUAGACUAGACUUUAUCCUGCAGUAGAUGUGUAUCGGCGAGUGUGAUGUGUUUAAUAUCUAUAAUCUAUAUAAGCCCUGGUUUAUGCGGCGUCUGAUAGCUCAAGACUGUUGUUGUGUUUCUGUCCCUAUAAAAGCAAGAGGAAGUCUGAAGGUGGCGCCAGUGACAGAAAAAUUGAGGAGUAGAAGGUAUAAGAACACAUAUCGAAGAUAUGAAGGAAAGGAAUCUUCUUCUGAAAAACCGAAAGGGAAAAUUCUUGGAAAGGGAUCGGCACAGUAUCAACUCGAGUCUUCCAAAAUUUUUGUAUGAAAUUUGGAACUAUUUACCAUUGGAAACGUAUCGUAAGUACUCGUAAGUAUUCGUCUCGCCUCGGAACAUGCUCUUAAGCCUUUGAUUUAUGUAUGUAGAAGCAAAAUACUUGUUGUAAAUUAUGUUACCUUAAAAUAAAUGGAUUUUAAUUUUUAA